GAGUUUGAUCAUGGCUCAGAGUGAACGCUGGCGGCAGGCCUAACACAUGCAAGUCGAACGGCAGCACAGAGGAGCUUGCUCCUUGGGUGGCGAGUGGCGGACGGGUGAGGAAUGCAUCGGAAUCUGCCUAUUUGUGGGGGAUAACGUAGGGAAACUUACGCUAAUACCGCAUACGUCCUACGGGAGAAAGUGGGGGACCUUCGGGCCUCACGCAGAUAGAUGAGCCGAUGCCGGAUUAGCUAGUUGGCGGGGUAAAGGCCCACCAAGGCGACGAUCCGUAGCUGGUCUGAGAGGAUGAUCAGCCACACUGGAACUGAGACACGGUCCAGACUCCUACGGGAGGCAGCAGUGGGGAAUAUUGGACAAUGGGCGCAAGCCUGAUCCAGCCAUGCCGCGUGUGUGAAGAAGGCCUUC
rnacentral:rRNA from 1 species